rnacentral:rRNA from 1 species
GUGCUGGGCGCAGCCUGAUCCAGCCAUGCCGCGUGCGGGAAGAAGGCCUUCGGGUUGUAAACCGCUUUUGUCAGGGAAGAAAAGGUUCUGGCUAAUACCUGGGACUCAUGACGGUACCUGAAGAAUAAGCACCGGCUAACUACGUGCCAGCAGCCGCGGUAAUACGUAGGGUGCAAGCGUUAAUCGGAAUUACUGGGCGUAAAGCGUGCGCAGGCGGUUAUGCAAGACAGAGGUGAAAUCCCCGGGCUCAACCUGGGAACUGCCUUUGUGACUGCAUGGCUAGAGUACGGUAGAGGGGGAUGGAAUUCCGCGUGUAGCAGUGAAAUGCGUAGAUAUGCGGAGGAACACCGAUGGCGAAGGCAAUCCCCUGGACCUGUACUGACGCUCAUGCACGAAAGCGUGGGGAGCAAACAGGAUUAGAUACCCUGGUAGUCCACGCCCUAAACGAUGUCAACUGGUUGUUGGGAGGGUUUCUUCUCAGUAACGUAGCUAACGCGUGAAGUUGACCGCCUGGGGAGUACGGCCGCAAGGUUGAAACUCAAUGAAAUUUUGACGGA